GGCUGGAGAGAUGGCUCAGUGGUUAAGAGCACUGACUGCUCUUCCAAAGGUCCUGAGUUCAAAUCCCAGCAGCCA
rnacentral:tRNA from 1 species